GACGUAGGGCGCGAGCGUUGUCCGGAUUUAUUGGGCGUAAAGAGCUCGUAGGCGGCUUGUCGCGUCGACUGUGAAAACCCGGGGCUCAACUGCGGGCUUGCAGUCGAUACGGGCAGGCUAGAGUUCGGUAGGGGAGACUGGAAUUCCUGGUGUAGCGGUGAAAUGCGCAGAUAUCAGGAGGAACACCGAUGGCGAAGGCAGGUCUCUGGGCCAUAACUGACGCUGAGAAGCGAAAGCAUGGGGAGCGAACAGG
rnacentral:rRNA from 1 species